AGAGUUUGAUUCUGGCUCAGAAUCAACGCUGGCGGCGUGCCUAACACAUGCAAGUCGCACGAGAAAGGGACUUCGGUCCUGAGUACAGUGGCGCACGGGUGAGUAACACGUGAAUCAUCUACCUUCGAGUGGGGAAUAACUGGGAGAAAUCCUGGCUAAUACCGCAUAAAACCUACGGGUCAAAGCAGCAAUGCGCUUGAAGAGGAGUUCGCGGCAGAUUAGUUAGUUGGCGGGGUAAUGGCCCACCAAGACGAUGAUCUGUAUCCGGCCUGAGAGGGCGCACGGACACACUGGAACUGAAACACGGUCCAGACUCCUACGGGAGGCAGCAGUGGGGAAUUUUGCGCAAUGGGGGAAACCCUGACGCAGCAACGCCGCGUGGAGGAUGAAAUAUCUUGGUAUGUAAACUCCUUUCGAUGGGGAAGAUAAUGUCGGUACCCAUAGAAGAAGCCCCGGCUAACUUCGUGCCAGCAGCCGCGGUAAUACGAGGGGGGCAAGCGUUGUUCGGAAUUAUUGGGCGUAAAGGGUGCGUAGGCGGUUUGACAAGUCUUGUGUGAAAUCUAUGGGCUCAACCCAUAGUCUGCACAGGAAACUGUCGGGCUUGAGUAUUGGAGAGGUGAGUGGAAUUUCC
rnacentral:rRNA from 1 species